rnacentral:rRNA from 1 species
GACGAACGCUGGCGGCGUGCUUAACACAUGCAAGUCGAACGGAAAGGCCCUGCUUUUGUGGGGUGCUCGAGUGGCGAACGGGUGAGUAACACGUGAGUAACAUGCCCUUGACUUUGGGAUAACUUCAGGAAAAUGGGGCUAAUACCGGAUAGGAGCUCCUGCUGCAUGGUGGUGGUUGGAAAGAUUCGGCGGUUGGGGAUGGACUGGCGGUUUAUCAGCUUGUUGGUGGGGUAGUGGCUGUCCAAGGUUUUGACGGAUAGCCGGCCUGAGAGGGGGGCCAGGCACCAGGGGACUGCGGGACGGACCAGACGCCUAUGGUAGGCAACAGGGGGGAAUAUGGCAGAAUGGGCGGAAGCCUGAUGCAGCAACGCUGCGUGCGGGAUGACGGCCUUCGGGUUGUAAACCGCUUUCUCCUGUGACGAAGAGAGAGUGACGGUAAUGGGUAAAGAAGCACCGGCUAACUACGUG